UAGGGAAUCUUCGGCAAUGGACGAAAGUCUGACCGAGCAACGCCGCGUGUGUGAAGAAGGUUUUCGGAUCGUAAAACUCUGUUGUUAGAGAAGAACAAGGACGUUAGUAACUGAACGUCCCCUGACGGUAUCUAACCAGAAAGCCACGGCUAACUACGUGCCAGCAGCCGCGGUAAUACGUAGGUGGCAAGCGUUGUCCGGAUUUAUUGGGCGUAAAGCGAGCGCAGGCGGUUUCUUAAGUCUGAUGUGAAAGCCCCCGGCUCAACCGGGGAGGGUCAUUGGAAACUGGGAGACUUGAGUGCAGAAGGGGAGAGUGGAAUUCCAUGUGUAGCGGUGAAAUGCGUGGAUAUAUGGAGGAACACGAGUGGCGAAGGAGGCUCUCUGGUCUGUAACUGACGCUGAGGCUCGAAAGAGUGGGGAGCAAACAGG
rnacentral:rRNA from 1 species